GAUGAACGCUGGCGGCGUGCCUAAUACAUGCAAGUCGAGCGAACAGACGAGGAGCUUGCUCCUCUGACGUUAGCGGCGGACGGGUGAGUAACACGUGGAUAACCUACCUAUAAGACUGGGAUAACUUCGGGAAACCGGAGCUAAUACCGGAUAAUAUAUUGAACCGCAUGGUUCAAUAGUGAAAGACGGUUUUGCUGUCACUUAUAGAUGGAUCCGCGCCGCAUUAGCUAGUUGGUAAGGUAACGGCUUACCAAGGCAACGAUGCGUAGCCGACCUGAGAGGGUGAUCGGCCACACUGGAACUGAGACACGGUCCAGACUCCUACGGGAGGCAGCAGUAGGGAAUCUUCCGAAAUGGGCGAAAGCAUGACGGAGAAACGCCGCGUGAGUGAUGAAGGUCUUCGGAUCGUAAAACUCUGUUAUUAGGGAAGAACAAAUGUGUAAGUAACUAUGCAAGACUUGACGGUACCUAAUCAGAAAGCCACGGCUAACUACGUG
rnacentral:rRNA from 1 species